rnacentral:rRNA from 1 species
AUUGAACGCUGGCGGCAUGCCUUACACAUGCAAGUCGAACGGCAGCACGGGAGCUUGCUCCUGGUGGCGAGUGGCGAACGGGUGAGUAAUACAUCGGAACGCACCCAGUAGUGGGGGAUAACGCACCGAAAGGUGCGCUAAUACCGCAUACGACCUACGGGUGAAAGCGGGGGACCGUAAGGCCUCGCGCUAUUGGAGCGGCCGAUGUCUGAUUAGCUAGUUGGCGGGGUAAUAGCCCACCAAGGCGACGAUCAGUAGCUGGUCUGAGAGGACGAUGAGCCACACUGGGACUGAGACACGGCCCAGACUCCUACGGGAGGUAGCAGUGGGGAAUUUUGGACAAUGGGGGCAACCCUGAUCCAGCAAUGCCGCGUGUGCGAAGAAGGCCUUCGGGUUGUAAAGCACUUUUGUCAGGGAAGAAAUCUUUCAGGCUAAUACCCUUGGAAGGAUGACGGUACCUGAAGAAUAAGCACCGGCUAACUACGUGCCAGCAGCCGCGGUAA